UACGUAGGGUGCGAGCGUUUGUCCGGAAUUAUUGGGCGUAAAGAGCUUGUAGGCGGUUUGUCGCGUCUGCCGUGAAAAUCCGGGGCUCAACCCCGGACUUGCGGUGGGUACGGGCAGACUAGAGUGUGGUAGGGGAGACUGGAAUUCCUGGUGUAGCGGUGAAAUGUGCAGAUAUCAGGAGGAACACCGGUGGCGAAGGCGGGUCUCUGGGCCGAUACUGACGCUGAGGAGCGAAAGCGUGGGGAGCGAACAGG
rnacentral:rRNA from 1 species